rnacentral:lncRNA from 13 species
CGCUCGGCUCUGACGCUCACACACACACCGGCUCCGCGGUCAGCGCACUGCGACCCAGAAGCAUCUGAAACCCGUUCGCCGCCGCCCGGGGGGUUUUACACCAACCGGAACUGACUUCACAAAACCAUGCCCUCCUUCUGCGGCUUCCAAUGCCAGCCCGCAGAAGCCCUCAAGACCCCGCCUUCCGUGCAGUCCAGACCCAAUCAGGGAAUGGAAGCGCCUGCUCCUCCCGCCCGGUCCUGCCGCGCGCCCCCGCCCGGCCCCGCCCCCGGCCACGGAAUGCCCCGCCCCCACUCUGGACCCAGUGGCUGCCGGGCGCGGGGGCGUGCGCGCGGUGGGUCCGGAGCCGCAGCUCUGCGGGCGCCGGGCUUCUCCGGCCUCCGCCACCCGGCGCGGUUCUGUGUCCCCGCCGCGCUCGUCCAUUAGCCUGCCGCCUCCCGAUACCGGAAGAUGUCACGCUGCUCCUUCUGUUGAGGCGCACUGGCGGGAGACCUGCUUCUCUGCCUUCCUGCUCCGCGGCAUUUCCACUUCACUGGAGAAAAACGUCCUGCUGCCCCAUUUAGCAAUUGGCACAGCCUCGCCGCCGCCAGGGCUCCGCUGGCCUUGUUUCCUUUCAGUAGCCUGUGAGUUAGGUACCGCCUCUGAGAGACCAGGACUUGUCCCUUCAGGUUCCACUAAAUACGUAGAGAACACAGUCCCUACUUCCAGGACGGUGACAAUAGAAAGGAGGAGAUGUCCAUGGAGUAGACAGAGUGCGGCUCCCUUCCUGACACUGUUCCUGCGCCUGCAAUGCCCUCUCCCCAACAUCUACCUGUUGGAAGCAUUUUCACUCUUCCUUGCUCAGUUGGCUGUAACAUCAUCGCUUUAGAAGGCUCAGAGGGCUGUCUCCCACUGUUGCACUUGCUCCCUAGUUAUUUCCAUACCUCUCUCAGGCGGCUGACAAGACUCAGGUGUGUCAUGCUGCAGGGCCCCUCACAGUGCACUCCUCAAUAAAUGCUAGCCCGGUGUUAUUGAACCCA